UUUCGCGAUACAUCCCGAUUAUGAUUUCCCCGAAAAUUAUUCUCUCCACCACCACCAUCUCAGGGAAUUCAUUUUGUUACAGGAAUAACUGCUUCCGAUGACGUCAUUCGCCAGUGCCAGCGUGUGACUGGGGUAUUAUGUGUGCUUCAUGGAAAUCGUAUGGGGCGGUCUGCCGUGGACAGUGGUGACUCUGGGUUUUACCGAAAUCCCAUCGGUUGCAGUCUCGCUUACCAGCUAUGCGGUUUACACAGCGACAAAUGAAAUGUUGUAAAUGCAUUGUCUGGUAUGUGAAACUCCAUCGAAAGAACUUCGCGCUGGCGAUCAGUCGGGGGAGGCAGCGGAUGACUGUCUUCGACAGGGCAACGGUGAACUGACACAGUGCUCUCACGUGACAUGCGCUGAUUGGUGCUUACUGCGCUGCAUUGGCGGAGCGUCAUCUGCAAGGAGUGGAUGGCAUUCUAUAAAAACGCCACUGCUCGCUGGAGAUUUCAACACGGACACCAUGUGGUCGGAUGUGACGUGCCGUGUCCGCAGCGGAACCGGGUGUGAUGGAAUGUUUCUUGGAGCGGAUGGUUAUCGAUCGCGCGCGCGGUACAUAUAACAGGUAAUGCUGAAUCAUAACCGACGCUUGUGUCGCGCUGGAGGGCCUUUUCUAUUUUCCGCUCGUUAGGUCCGCUAAUAAGGAAGCACCGCUUAAUGGCUCACUGUGGUGUGUUGAAAUAGACGUGCUGGAUGUUUGACGUGAUUUGUUUAAUCCGUGAUCUGUGGAGGACGACAGUUUAAGAAGGGAAAGUGCACCGCGGUGCAGCAUGGCAGUGUAGCUAGCUGGUUGUGGGCUAUAUAAGUACAACUACUAGUCAUGUCUGCCGUGCAGCUCGUGGUGGUCAGUCGUCCUGGUGUCCAGUAUGAUUAUCUGUGUUGGGUUCGGUGCGCCUGUGUUUGUUUAUCGGUUCCGCCGGGAAGGGGAGCGGUGUACAGGUAGCUCGCCAUGAUUGGCUCAUGUUUCUGGGAAUGCCGCUCACGCUGCACUUAGUCGAAUAUUCGUCAGCUGAUGUGAGUCAUCUAUUGUAUAUUUUCAAUGAAAAAGGGAACUGCUUGUGCUUGUUCUUCCAUGAACGUUGCGAUCGAUAACUGCCUCCCCGAUGACGAUGGGGAUUGGUGAGUAAUCUGUCGAUAGCUUAACAUUAACAAGAAACUCCAAUUAAUCUUUGUCAUCCCAAGUGUUCGGCUAAUGGGUAUAAUUGUAGCGUCGAUUUGAAACAACACAUCUAUUACUACUGAGUUACGGUUAACCCUAUCAUCCUAAUACGUUUGUUUGCCAAGAAAGGACGCUGAUUAAACGUUACGCGCACGCAAUGAAAGGUGGGAUCUUGUCGAUUGAAGGAAAAGCGACGGGAAGUUCUUUACAUUCGGCAGCACAAGCGAAGAUUGAUAUCCGUCUAGUGCGGAAGUAACAGCUGUUCAUUGGAACAUUUUUGUAGUGAUGUAUAUAGUCUUGGGUAAAAGAGACAACAUGAUCUCGCGAACCGGACAUACUCAAAUAUCUAUCGUUACACAUUGGCUCGGCUAGCCUCGGCAUGUUUUGAAUAGAUGCCUAAAGUACUUCUUUUACUGGUUGGUCUAAUAAAAGCAUUGCAGUGCUGUGCCCACUUAUCGAAGGCAGACUGGACUCGGAUUCUGCUGCAGCACAAAAUAAUGUAGUCGGAAUGCAUUAAUGGCUUGCCCAAGUUCGACUACCGUGUUGCAUUAACACUUACGUGUUGCAUUAACAUUCGCAUCUUAAGUUCAUGAUGUAUCAGAUUUGAUUAAUCGUAAGACGUACUUUAUCGCUGAGAA